CAAAAGGGUGAUGCUUGACCUUCUCCACCUCUCCACGGAGCCAUCGCUGUGGUCUGAAGGUGUGAGGGUCGGGAAAGACGCUCUCGUCAUAGGACACAGCGUAGUGGCACAGCCUCUUGCUGACUGGACUUGUCCCUUCCACAGAGUGAACACACACUGGGUCAACUUACCGUGUCGACUCCUGCCAGCAGGAUCUCAGUCAUGCUUGCCAGAAUCUCAGUGAUCGUCAUCUUGUCGCUGAACAGCAGGUGUGUGAGGUUGUCGUUGCUUACCGACUUUGAAGAGGUGAUCCCAGGCCGCCACAAACCGUUUCCAAGCGGGAAGGUAUGGCCACGCGGACCUGGGGAAGAGGAUCACGACCUGCGUGAGGUGGAACAUUUCCCCAACAGAGGUGGGGCUUCCUCUCUGCCUUGGACUCCCCUGGGAAGGGGACGAGCACGCAGUAACUUCAUGCAGACACUGCAUAAACUCCACAACUGCAGACAAAGGUAAAGCUAAGAGAGGUUCACUCACUCGGUCAGGGGUCCAUAGGCCUGGUUCCUCAUCUCUCGGUACAACCUCCAGACGGGCAUGUCGGUCCGGAUCGGAUGUUUCCCCUCCUGCCUCAAAACCUGCUCUA